rnacentral:rRNA from 3 species
GGAUGCGAUCAUACCAGCAGUAAAGCAUCGGAUCCCAUCAGAACUUUGAAGUUAAGCGUGCUUGGGCGAGAGUAGUACUAGGAUGGGUGACGUCCUGGGAAGUCCUCGUGUUGCGUUCC